UGGUGGGGUUCCCGAGCGGCCAAAGGGAGCAGACUGUAAAUCUGCCGUCAUCGACUUCGAAGGUUCGAAUCCUUCCCCCACCACCAU
rnacentral:tRNA from 45 species